UCAAAACUUUCAACAACGGAUCUCUUGGUUCUGGCAUCGAUGAAGAACGCAGCAAAAUGCGAUAAGUAAUGUGAAUUGCAGAAUUCAGUGAAUCAUCGAAUCUUUGAACGCACAUUGCGCCCGCCAGUAUUCUGGCGGGCAUGCCUGUUCGAGCGUC
rnacentral:rRNA from 1 species